rnacentral:misc_RNA from 1 species
GCAAUGGUACACCUUUCUUAUUACAUCAUGCUCACUACUCGGUGAGCUUUACUACACUGACGUUUCCGAACGCAGCUUCUGGCAGCCUAGACUUUGCAUUAAGGAAGUUUUUAUUGUAUUAUCUUAACCUCUAUUAACCUUUCGUAUUAUUUUUCUUAAGAUAAUACAAAUUUAUGAAAUUUGUAGGGAAAAUUAAAAUUUGAAUUUGUAGUUAAGCUAAACUAUUUGCUGUAUGUUUUAAUUUUGUCUUUGAAAAAUUCUUGUGGACGUGAUGUAUAAGAUGUUUUAAGAUAUUGAAUUAUAUAUGAAUGUAAAAUGCAUAGUGAAAGUGAGGAAGGAGAAAUUGUAUCAGACUUCGAAGAAGAUUUUGCAGAAGAGUUAUGCAGUUUACCUCAUGUUCUAAAAUUCAUACAUAAACGGAAUGAAUAUAUAAAAAAACAACGGAAAAAAAUUGAUAAACUUCGAAAGAAACUCAAUCAGAAGAAACAGCAAAACUUGAUAUGUACAAAAACAUUUGUACACUGCGGGACUCAGACAAAUCCUUUAAUUUUUAAUGACUUAUUAUCACAAGAUUGGAAUAUUAAUCACAAUAUUAAUUCAUCAAGUAUAGUAGAUCAAGUGAAGCAAGUAGCAGAAUCAGCUUUAUUACAGACUGGAUUUGUUUAUGAGCACACAUCAGGAAUGUAUUAUGAUUAUAAAACUGGAUAUUAUUAUGAUACGAAUCAAGGUUUAUAUUACGAUGGAAACACUGGAAUAUAUUACUAUUAUGAUGAGGAUAGUAAUACGUAUCAAUUCCAUAGUCAAAUCUGUAUAGACAAAACUAUUCCUACAUACCUUUCAACUUUCCAAAAGAAGGGAGAAGAUACUGAAAAAAUAUAUAAGGAUGACAUGAAAAAGGGAAAAUAUACAAAUGAAGAAAAUUUUGAAGAUAAAGAACCAGAAGAGGGUGAAUAUUUACAGAGUGAAAAUGAGGGCAUUUCUGACAAAAUUAUUCCUGAUGUAUCUACAAAUAGCGAAAGUGAUGAUGAAAAACAAGAUUUAGCGAAAAGUUAUCCACCAUGUAUGAGACUUAUUGUUAAGGAAACAGAUUUAGCAAAAUUAAAAUUGGGUUCUCUCUUUCUCGUGACAUGUACAGGAGGUACGUUAGGUCGAGAGGGAGAUCAUUCAGUGCUGAUAUCGGAUAUAAAUAUUAGCAAGUAUCAUGCACGUUUUAUAUACGAUGAAACUAAGAAACAGUAUCAAGUGAUAGAUUCCGGUUCAAGAAAUGGUACUUUUAUAAAUGGUAAACGAUUGUCAGUAGCUAAACAGGAAUCUGAGCCUUAUGAAAUAACGCAUGGAUCAGUUAUAAAAAUUGGUGGAACGAAAUUACUGUGUCAUAUUCAUCACGGAAAUGAAACUUGUGGUCAUUGCGAACCAGGUCUUGUUCAACAAAACAUUAAUCUCAAUGAAAAUAAAAUUUUGAAGACAAAACUUUAUAAAGAAGAGUUGCGACGUCUAAAACAUAAAUUUGGAAUUGAAAAGGAUAAUGUUGUGUCUAGUGGUCAAUUAGCUUCAGGUUACCAAGAUAGAGCACAAGCUAGACGGCUGUAUGUAGGUUCGUCGGAUCCUCACGCUAAGACACAACAAAGUUCUGUUCACACAUCAAUAACAAAGGACAAUAAAGGAUUCAAAUUGCUUUCGAAAAUGGGUUGGUUCGAAGGUCGUUCUUUGGGCAAGGAUGGAAAUGGAAGGACAGAACCUCGUGCUCUUAUUCGUCCGCUAUCUAAAAUUCGUACAUCUAUGUUCCCAUUUGACACACGACCGAUUGCCAACUUAUUGGAAAUGUCUAAACUCCUUGAAAGGAUUGUUGCUGAUCAAAUACUAAUACGCAGUCUGCUCUAUUACGUGUGUGUAACGAUAUCAAGGCGGGAUAGAUGGUGGACUCAUCACUAUCAUGAUGAUGUACUUGGGCACACAUCACAAAUGAUGUACGCGUGUCCUCAUUAAUUAUUGUAACACUUGAGAAGGACCCAAAUCUAUGGUCGAAACGUGUGUGAUAUCUAACUAAUAAAUUUGGCCAGAAAGUUACUUAUCGGAUGCAAUCAUAACAAAGUUGGUCUUGGAUCGACACGAACAGAUGUUGCUACCCUCGAGUUAUAUCCCAACAUGGAAAAGAAACAGGCAAUUUGGCGAAAAACACAAAAA